rnacentral:rRNA from 1 species
UUGCUCCAGUAACCACGUGGGACAAACCUAACCUUCAGCACGGGGGAUAAACCUCGGGGAAACUGGGUAUAAUACCCGAUAGUUCUGGUUAGCUGGAAUGCUAUCAGGACGAAAGCUCCGGCGGCCGAGGAUGGGUCUGCGGCCUAUCAGGUAGUAGUGGGUGUAACGUACCUACUAGCCUACGACGGGUACGGGUUGUGAGAGCAAGAGCCCGGAGAUGGAUUCUGAGACACGAAUCCAGGCCCUACGGGGUGCAGCAGGCGCGAAAACUUUACAAUGCUGGCAACAGCGAUAAGGGGACCUCGAGUGCCAGGAUACAAUCUUGGCUGUCGUGAUGCCUAAAAAGCAUUGCAUAGCAAGGGCCGGGCAAGACCGGUGCCAGCCGCCGCGGUAACACCGGCGGCUCGAGUGGUAACCGCUAUUAUUGGGUCUAAAGGGUCUGUAGCCGGCCGGAUAAGUCUUUUGGGAAAUCCAGCUGCUCAACAGUUGGGCUUUCAGAAGAUACUGUUCGGCUCGAGGCCGGGAGAGGUGAGAGGUACUUCAGGGGUAGGGGUGAAAUCUUGUAAUCCUUGAAGGACCACCAGUGGCGAAGGCGUCUCACCAGAACGGACCUGACGGCAAGGGACGAAAGCUAGGGGCACGAACCGGAUUAGAUACCCGGGUAGUCCUAGCCGUAAACGAUACUCGCUAGGUGUCAGCCACGGUGCGACCGUGGUUGGUGCCGUAGGGAAGCCGUGAAGCGAGCCACCUGGGAAGUACGGCCGCAAGGCUGAAACUUAAAGGAAUUGGCGGGGGAGCA